UACGUAGGGGGCUAGCGUUGUCCGGAAUCAUUGGGCGUAAAGCGCGUGUAGGCGGUCCGGUAAGUCCGCUGUGAAAGUCGGGGGGCUCAACCCUCGGAUGCCGGUGGAUACUGUCGGGCUUGAGGUACGGAAGAGGCGAGUGGGAAUUCCUGGUGUAGCGGUGGAAAUGCGCAGAUAUCAGGAGGAACACCGGUGGCGAAGGCGGGU
rnacentral:rRNA from 1 species